ACCUGCAUGCGCUGCCUCACAGUGAGACCCUGGCUCAAAACACACGUACACAUACGGUCUGAGGACAUAGCUCAGUGGUGGAGGACCCUUUAAUAUGUAAAAUGUGCCUAGGUUCAAUCUGCAGUACCAUAAAAACAAAUAAGAAAAACCCACUGUGCGGGCUCUGGCCCUUAAAAUAUUUUCAGUUCAAGCUUAGUUUUUUGUUGAUGUUUUGAUAUGGGUGUGUGAUCAAAAGAGUUGAGUUGAGUCUUUUCUUCCUUUAUGUAGGGGCUGGGGAUUGAACUCAGGUCUCCAGGCUGUUAUCUCACCGGUUCCCUUCCCUGUUCUCUCUCUCUCUCUCUCUCUCUCUCUCUCUUUCUAAACUUGGUUGGGUUGUUUUGCUUUUCAUCAAACUCAUCAUGUCUGAGGUCAGAACUUGCAAGACAGUAGUAACACAGAUUUAAAAAGAUGGAAAUUCUCUCCCAGUGACUUUCUGUACAGGCAUUAGUCACCAGCUGUGUCAUCGGCAUGACAAGGCAAAAUUAUCCUAGUGGAUGCCUGUGGCUUAGACGCUGGGAGAAUCUUAGCAGCUCCUUGUACAGAAAUGUACAUGGGAGCUUCUGUUUGGCCCCUUCCCCAUCUGUCCAUUUCUGCAAAACCUGAAAGCCUUCCACACACCAAGUCCUACCCUGAACCCUAGAGGUAUGAGAACAGAAGAAACAGAGAUCCACCUUCAAAAGCUGCUGGACCUUGGGCAAGUUAUUUGACCUCCCUUGUUUCUUUGUGUGUAAAAUAAGAGUAGUCACAAU
rnacentral:lncRNA from 1 species